AUCCAACUGACAAGUCCUAAAUAGGACGAAAUAAGCGUUCUGGAU
rnacentral:hammerhead_ribozyme from 1 species